UGCGGAUAUGGUCAAAUGGUAAAA
rnacentral:tRNA from 1 species